GGGGUUGAGGGAGGAACACAACCGGGAACCGUCAAGUUAAUGAACACAGAGACUGAAGAAAAUUGUCGUAAGUAGUUAAUACAGGAUGUAAAAGACGAUGCAAGUUGAACUUCAUGCCCAAACUCGGAAGGAAACGCGUUAGAGAAUUGGAACAGGAAAGGACAGUCAACCUCUGGAGAAAGCGCUUAAAGUAGGGAGAAACUGCGACGUUAACAUGAAGCCUGAGGAACUGAAUUUUUCCGCGUUUUGAAAAUUAGUGGGGAAGUAUUCUCCCGUCAGUAUGAAUGAUCAAGGGAUUUGGUGAUAGCUUAAGUUUUUAGGGGUAUGUGUAUUUUAGUUCUUCCUCUUGGCCCGAGAAGUAUGGGAUCAUCUGUUCGCACCCGAGAUGCAUGGGUCUGUAUGCGUGGAAACUUAAAGCCUCAGAGUAAGGGACCAUCUAUGCCCAAAAUUGUAGAGUGGCUAUUAUUGUUAUUUUUUCAUACAAAAAAGUGGCCGUUGUAGAGAGGUGGCCGUUAGCGGUAGGUUCUACUGUACUCGUGGUUCGCACAUGUCGUACCGUUAAUUUUGCUUAACGGAUUGAUAGAGAAAACUCGACAUUCUUAACUUCGCGAUCUAGUGGAGGCGGCUGAAUGCAGAGGUGAGCAGGAUUGCAGUGAGCCUGUGAAUACUGUUGUCUCUGAUACCAUAUAACCCGGCAUACACUGAAAAGGUCAUUUAUUCUUUCUUUAAAAUCCGCGCGUCAUAUAUAGGGGAAGAAACAAAUGCGCCUCAAAACUUGAUGCUGACACUUUCAUGGUAUUCCCCGGGGGUAUUCCUUUCAACAGUUUCUUACAAUCAAACAAACAAGUAGUCAUCCAGGAAUUUGUCAGUUGGAAUUUGCGGUUCUGCAUUUAUAACGUUCGCAAGAAGAAGAGCCGAAGUUUUUCGUGUCUUGUUGAAUAACUAAACCUUAAACUCUUUGAUAAUGGUGGAAUUUGGUGAUCCACAGUUUUUGGGGACGGCUUGCCCUCCCCUACCCUUUCCACGCGCUGUGCAGACAGCCUCCCCCCCCUGCUCUCCCUCCCGUCUGCCAACCGCUUUUUCCCCCUGAUCUUUGCGAGGGUAGUUCGUCUCCGCCAUCUUGCACACGUGUGUGAAAGGUAAAUAGUGGAAAAUUGUGUUUACCGUAAUUUCAAAGUUUUUUUUGCAUGUUGAAGCCAUAUUGUGGAAUGAGGAGAUGUUGUUUUUGAAGACCUCCGGAGGAAUGGACGCAUAAGGUUUUAGGACUUGGUUUGUCUAAACAUCCAAACACCAUUCUCUCCUGAAGCAAUACAACACAAGCUUGGCUUACAUGUAGUUGCAGAACCAGUAAGGAAAGUAGACUUUUAGUGAAGAAGAGGGAUCUGUAACACUGGGAAGAUAAGAGAAGAGGGAUUGGGACUUACAUGAAGACCCCUAACAAUUUCUGAAGACUCAAAUUAAGCAUUGUAUCUUGACGAUCACCGAGCUGGACUAUCAGAGCA